GUCGGAACUGUUCCUUAUGAACAGUAGGUUAGUGUCGUUCUGGAUAUACCCUUAGCUUGGGGUUUUCAUUUGCGGUCAUGCCACUGAAUGUUGACUUCCUUUGCUUCCACCUCAACUUGUCUUUUGUUUUUUUUUUCUUCUUCUUUCCUGAAUUCACUCAUUCGUCUACUUUUUCUCUCUCUUCCUACUUUCUUCCUCUUUCCAUUUCUGCUAUUGCUCUGUCAUUUUCUCACUGUUGCUUUCUUUCUUUCACGCUCUUUCAUAGAAGGUCACGCUAGGUUCUCCAUUGAAGCGUGUUAUGAGCUUUCUUUGUUCCAUUGUAGCUGCGGGAUUUUAGGAUAAAGGGGAUUCUAAUGCCUUUUUUGAGUUGUCGGUUUGCAGCAAAAGGACGAGGAGAUGGGAAGAAUGAGCCUGUAGCUCUUGCAGCAAGAGGACGAGGUGGUAGUUUGAUCAAUUUCAAUAUUACUAUAAAUACCACCUCGCACUUGGCUUACUUCUCAUUUGUCGACACAACUUCCUAACUCUUCUCUCUCGGUUUCUUCUCUGCCUCUUCUUCUUCUACCUCAAUUCUAAUUCUCUCUCUAAUUUUAGUUGUUUUUUUGCAUUCAAUUUUGUCGAUUUAUGUGAUUAAUUUUUGUGUGGGUUUUGCUUAUUUUUGUUGUUGUGUUUACUUUUUUAGGUGUCGGUUGGCUUUUCUAGCAUUAUUGGAAUUUUGAUAAUUGAUCUGUGUUCUUACAGAGAAAAUGGCUGGUCUUGUAGUGUUGUAAUUUGUUUGGAUACCCAGAUCUGAUAUUUGUGUAAUAUUUUGUUGUUUAAUUGGGUUUAUGAUUUCUUGAUUUGUGUGAUUAUGUCUUUCUUGAUUUUUGCUGGAUCAUGGUAAAAGUUGCACCAUUUUGUGAAAAUUUUGGAUAAUUUUUUUCCUUGCCGUUUCAUAUAUAGAUUGUUGGAUUUGGAGUUGUGAUGAAUCUCAUAACAAUUCUAUUGUUA